rnacentral:misc_RNA from 1 species
CGCACAUUGCGCCCGCCAGUAUUCUGGCGGGCAUGCCUGUCCGAGCGUCAUUUCAACCCUCGAGCCCCCCGGGCUCGGUGUUGGGGACCGGCCGCGCGCCGCCCCCGAAAUGCAGUGGCGACCUCGCCGCAGCCUCCCCUGCGUAGUAGCACAACCUCGCACCGGAGCGCGGAGACGGUCACGCCGUAAAACGCCCAACUUUUCACAGAGUUGACCUCGGAUCAGGUAGGAAUACCCGCUGAACUUAA